rnacentral:rRNA from 1 species
AGAGUUUGAUCAUGGCUCAGGACGAACGCUGGCGGCGUGCUUAACACAUGCAAGUCGAACGGAAAGGCCCUGCUUAUGUGGGGUGCUCGAGUGGCGAACGGGUGAGUAACACGUGAGUAACCUGCCCUUGACUUUGGGAUAACUUCAGGAAACUGGGGCUAAUACCGGAUAGGAGCUCCUGCUGCAUGGUGGGGGUUGGAAAGUUUCGGCGGUUGGGGAUGGACUCGCGGCUUAUCAGCUUGUUGGUGGGGUAGUGGCUUACCAAGGCUUUGACGGGUAGCCGGCCUGAGAGGGUGACCGGCCACAUUGGGACUGAGAUACGGCCCAGACUCCUACGGGAGGCAGCAGUGGGGAAUAUUGCACAAUGGGCGGAAGCCUGAUGCAGCAACGCCGCGUGCGGGAUGACGGCCUUCGGGUUGUAAACCGCUUUCGCCUGUGACGAAGCGUGAGUGACGGUAAUGGGUAAAGAAGCACCGGCUAACUACGUGCCAGCAGCCGCGGUGAUACGUAGGGUGCGAGCGUUGUCCGGAUUUAUUGGGCGUAAAGGGCUCGUAGGUGGUUGAUCGCGUCGGAAGUGUAAUCUUGGGGCUUAACCCUGAGCGUGCUUUCGAUACGGGUUGACUUGAGGAAGGUAGGGGAGAAUGGAAUUCCUGGUGGAGCGGUG